rfam:Picea glauca, whole genome shotgun sequence.
UCAUGUAAUGAUUUCGUAGUGGUAUUAUAUAGUGGAUCCCAUUAGAACUUCGUAAUUUAGCAUGCUUGGGCUAGAGUAGUACUAGGAUGGGUGACCUCCUGAGAAGUUUUAGUGUUUUACAUGCC